rnacentral:tRNA from 1 species
GGGGCCGUAGCUCAGCUGGGAGAGCGCUUGAAUGGCAUUCAAGAGGUCAGGGGUUCGAUCCCCCUCGGCUCCA